GACCUCCUUUUUUAACCGUUGGAUCGUCGAUUUCAGUGGGACCCCCAGGGGCAAGGGGAGUGCUUCUGCAGGACACUGCCAUCGGAAGGUAGAAGCGUCAAAGAAUGACUCAUUGCAAGGAGAAAGGCAGAAAGAAGGAGGAAGGGGCGGGAGAAGCCAUCCACAAUAAGAAAUUCGACUUUAUUGAUUGAAUAAUUUUGAAGACAAACAGAAAGAAAAUAUUGCGACGAAAUAAGGGCAC
rnacentral:lncRNA from 1 species